CGGGAUGCUGGUUGGAAUGACCAUCCCCUCGCUGUGGUACUGGUGCACAGACCAGGUCAUUGUUCAAAGAUCUUUGGCAGCCAAGAACC